rnacentral:lncRNA from 1 species
GGAGCUCAGUCUCUGUUUCUCUGUUAUUUGGAUCAUAGGACUGGGGGUGCUUUUCCCCUCACUGGUCUCGCCGACGUCCAUCUUCAGGACGUGUGACGUGGCCACAUUUGCUUGGCUUGGACGGCGUCAUAGCUUUGCCCUGAAGACUGGGGUGCCCGUCAGCGUCGGCCAUCGCCCUGGCCAAGGAGCGAUCCAUCUCACCACAGCUGGAUUCGAGAGCCACCCGCAGCCUUCCCCUUGUGCCCCAAGUCAAGGCCUCCAGAACCUUCCUCAUCAGCAGCUCCUGCAGAGACCUGGUCACCCAGCGAACACCAGGACCUCAUCCUGUCCACAGAUGUCCCUGCCUGCACACAGCACCCCCAGGAGGUGGGGAGCAUGACCCAGGCUGGCUGCAGCCUCCUGGCUGCCAGGGGGAGCCCAGGGGCAGGCUGUGCACGGGAGACCCCGGCCCGCUGGCAGUCGGGGCUGGACUGUCUCAUCUCCAGCCUCAGCUCUGGUCUCUGGGGACCCGCCCAGGGCUCACCUCAGCCCUCUCCCAAGUACGUGUGGGUCCAAGGAGAGCAGAAGUGAGGCCUCUCCCGUUCCCGGGCUCUGCCUUCGACACGCUCCAUCUCUUCUUCCACCUCCAACUCGGGGUCCAGAACGACCCUGGCAGCUCGGGGUCCUGGGGUAGAGCAGAAAAGGUCUCCGGGAGGGGCUUCCUCACCUGCGCCGCCUGCGUGAAGCCAGCUCCCUGGGCUGUCCACCAUCCUGCCCUGAGCUGCCCAUAGGCCACACUCAGCCGAUAGUCCAGAGGCCCCCAGCCCUUCUCGCCUGUCCCUGCAGAGGGGGCCCCUGAGGUCAGAGGGCAGAGCCCAGACGCUGUGCUGGUCAAGCUUCAGCUUUCCCUCUGGAGUUGAUACGUGCUGUUGGCCUUGGUUUGAAACAGACCAUCUGCUCCCACCGGUCAGGGGGGCCGUCCCUGUGAGGCAGUGCUGGCAUUAAAGGGGCAGCCGGCCAGCAGGGCCACGACGGGAUGCCAAGUGACCUUGGGGCCUUGGUGUCCACCCGCUGGGAGCAGGUGCCCACAGGGCCCUGCUGGGGAAGGCUGGGGUCUGCACGGCCUCCAGGACCCCCCAGCCAUUUCAGCUGCUCACAGUUCCCUGACUGCGCAGCUGGGAUGGGAGAGAGG